rnacentral:rRNA from 1 species
UACGUAGGGUGCGAGCGUUAAUCGGAAUUACUGGGCGUAAAGCGUGCGCAGGCGGUUAUGCAAGACAGAUGUGAAAUCCCCGGGCUCAACCUGGGAACUGCAUUUGUGACUGCAUGGCUGGAGUGCGGCAGAGGGGGAUGGAAUUCCGCGUGUAGCAGUGAAAUGCGUAGAUAUGCGGAGGAACACCGAUGGCGAAGGCAAUCCCCUGGGCCUGCACUGACGCUCAUGCACGAAAGCGUGGG